CAGUCGCCGCGGUAAUACGAAGGGUGCAAGCGUUAAUCGGAAUUACUGGGCGUAAAGCGUGCGUAGGCGGUGAGCUAAGUCUGCUGUGAAAUCCCCGGGCUCAACCUGGGAAUGGCAGUGGAUACUGGCUCGCUAGAGUGUGUCAGAGGAUGGUGGUAUUCCCGGUGUAGCGGUGAAAUGCGUAGAGAUCGGGAGGAACAUCAGUGGCGAAGGCGGCCAUCUGGGACAACACUGACGCUGAGGCACGAAAGCGUGGGGAGCAAACAGGAUUAGAUACCCCUGUAGUCCCUGUCUCUUAUAC
rnacentral:rRNA from 1 species